rnacentral:rRNA from 1 species
CACGUAGGAGACAAACGUUAUCCGGAGUUACUGGGCGUAAAGGGCGUGUAGGCGGUAUGUUAAGUCUGGCGUGAAAGCUCUCGGCUAAACCGGGAGAGGUCGUUGGAUACUGGCAAACUAGAGGAUGGUAGAGGCGUGUGGAAUUCCGGGUGUAGUGGUGAAAUGCGUAGAGAUCCGGAGGAACACCAGUGGCGAAGGCGACACGCUGGGCCAUACCUGACGCUAAAGCGCGACAGCAUGGGGAGCAAACGGG